AAGGUGUUGGUGUCAUAGUGAGGAACCCUGGACGUGUGGACAUGAAAAGAGUAGGAGGCCACUUCACCAGUCUCCCUCACAGGAUUGCAUGCCACAUACCUUCCCAGGGCCGAGAGGAAGAACUAUCCCUUGAAACCCAUCUCAAUAGGGAGAGUACAUUUCUCCAAAUCAGGUCCUCGCCUCUUAAGGGCUUUCUCACUCACGGUCAAGACCAUCAUCCAAUUGGUCAUGGGUGUGACCAAAUGGAGCCUGGAUGAAUGAAAGGCUACCUCUGGCUUCUAAUCUCCCACAUAGUUCAUAGUUUCAUUAAAGGAAUAUUGAUGCGUAGUGACAAGGGGGGGUAGGGGAUGCUGAAGCCUAUACUUUCUGGAAGAAACCCUGUCAGUAAAAGAAUACAGUUACAAGAUGAGUGGCACCACAGAAGUAAUUAAAGCCAUUUGUCAGCUCGACGGCCAAAUGUUUAUAUUCUGA